UUCGGUUAAAAAUAGACAUCACCUACAUAUAGGUAAUCAUUUUCCCGGUAUGAGUAUAAUUAGAUAACACUAUUAAAUUCAUCAGUACCUACUUGCAUAGAUACAAUGGAAAAAAAAUAUUACUGUUCUGUCACCCAGGGAACAAUAAGUAAAUUACUUACUCAACGAUGUGUAGGUAUUAAAAAAAAUUAGAUAUGUAGUGUAAAAUAAGGGGAAUACCUGGUACAUACAAUGAAUCACUACCUUUAGUAAUUUUGCAUCCAGUAAUAAAAUUGUGCAUUACCAUUGAAUAAUACUUUAUGUCCUCUACACAUAACUUGCGAAACUUACCUACGCAUAAUUGGACUUAUAUAUUUAUUAUAUAGGUAUAAUUAUAAUUAUCUUUACAAUUACCUGUAGAUACCUACAUAUUGUAAUUACGACAGUUAUAUAGUAUUUGUAGCUUUGCCGGUUUGUAGUAGGAAUAUCUACUUGUAAAGGUUCCCAUCUCAUUAAUCACAAUGGAUAAUAACCUUCUUUACGUUGGAAUUGCUCGGGGCGUUCAGAAGCUAUAGGUACAUAAAUUAGAAAAGGACAAGAACAAUGUAAAGUAAUUUAAAUUUGAAUAUAAGAAGAAAACAUAAAAAAGAACAAACAAAAAAGUUGAAGGGAUAAGACUAUUAACAAUAAAUUUAAUUAACAGUCCUGACAACGUUCUAGAAAAUUCGCUACCCCCCUCCCCUCUUAUAACUGUUGCGCCUCACUACACGGGCGACGGUUGUAUCAGAGAGUCAGACAGUCCUAAGUGACGAUACUAUCACGUUAUUUCGAUAGCGAGAAGGGGAGUACGGAACAUAUGAGCGUAGAGAAGACACGAACCACCACUUUUGACUUGAAACUUAGCGCGACCGAAAUGAUGAUUUGGUUGGUUAGGCUUCUGCUAAAUACAAUGACGCUACUGGACAUCACAAAUUUGAUGAUUUCCAAUCCAAGAAAACCGUUACACUC